GACCUCUUGCGAUCUCUGACCCCGGGCAGAGGAAUAAGCAAAGGGAAAAAGCUGGGUUUCAGGGAGUAUAGCCUUGGUUUCUGGAAGGUACCCAGGUCUAGAGAUCCCCUUCUCUGCAUGUCUACCAAAGAAGUGUGGGGUCUGGAGAGGUGGAGAAACAGAGCUGGAGAAGAAUGGAGAAUAAUAGAACCCACCUGAGAACGUCGCUGGCCUAUGCUUUUGAAAAAGGGGCUUCGACUGAUGGCCCAACCAUGUGCAUUUGUAGCAAGAUCUUCCUGCGUGCUGUUCCCAUGCCUGGAAGAUGCCUUGCUCUCUGGCUGACUCACCUGUCUUGGCUGAAGUAUCGCCUCUUCAGCAAAGUCUUCUCUGAUUUCCCAGCACGGACGGUAAAGAAUGCAGAAGGUCCCUGCCACAUCAGGCGGGAGAUGGAGGAGCUGGUGAGCACCAGAGGCCACUAGGGAUCUCAGAGAACAAACAGCCCAUUGCCCAGAUGGAGACACUGAGUCCCAGCAAGCUACUCCGCCAUCAGAGGUGCAUCGUCUACUAAAAGUAGGAGCUGUCCAGACCUGGAAGAGUGGCUGGAAAAGGUGCGAAAUGUGUGGAAAUUCCACCUCGUUGCUGAAAGUAAGUGGAAAAAUGCUUUUGUCGCUGUUCCUGUCUCUUUGGCUUACGUCUUCAGCAGUUUCUCUUUAAGGGGAAUUUCCAGGCCCCUGGGACACUAUCAGGCUUUGGCUAUAGCAGUGGUUCUCAUCCUAGGGCAGGGUGAGGGGAACUCCUGGGGUGGGAGGUGCUUAAAAAAAUUCCACUGCAAGGGCGCAGGCCAAAUGCAUCUGAGUUUUGGCAGGUGGGACCCCGGACAAGCCCUUCAGGUGAUUCAAACAUGUGCAGCUGAGGCAAAGACCGUUGGGUGAGCAUUUGAAAUCACUCAUGCUGCAUUUCUUUUUUCUUU